rnacentral:rRNA from 1 species
GGAUGAACGCUAGCUACAGGCUUAACACAUGCAAGUCGCGGGGCAGCAUGGUCUUAGCUUGCUAAGACUGAUGGCGACCGGCGCACGGGUGAGUAACACGUAUCCAACCUGCCGUCUACUCUUGGACAGCCUUCUGAAAGGAAGAUUAAUACAAGAUGGCAUCAUGAGUCCGCAUGUUCACAUGAUUAAAGGUAUUCCGGUAGACGAUGGGGAUGCGUUCCAUUAGAUAGUAGGCGGGGUAACGGCCCACCUAGUCUUCGAUGGAUAGGGGUUCUGAGAGGAAGGUCCCCCACAUUGGAACUGAGACACGGUCCAAACUCCUACGGGAGGCAGCAGUGAGGAAUAUUGGUCAAUGGGCGAGAGCCUGAACCAGCCAAGUAGCGUGAAGGAUGACUGCCCUAUGGGUUGUAAACUUCUUUUAUAAAGGAAUAAAGUCGGGUAUGGAUACCCGUUUGCAUGUACUUUAUGAAUAAGGAUCGGCUAACUCCGUGCCAGCAGCCGCGGUAAUACGGAGGAUCCGAGCGUUAUCCGGAUUUAUUGGGUUUAAAGGGAGCGUAGAUGGAUGUUUAAGUCAGUUGUGAAAGUUUGCGGCUCAACCGUAAAAUUGCAGUUGAUACUGGAUAUCUUGAGUGCAGUUGAGGCAGGCGGAAUUCGUGGUGUAGCGGUGAAAUGCUUAGAUAUCACGAAGAACUCCGAUUGCGAAGGCAGCCUGCUAAGCUGCAACUGACAUUGAGGCUCGAAAGUGUGGGUAUCAAACAGGAUUAGAUACCCUGGUAGUCCACACGGUAAACGAUGAAUACUCGCUGUUUGCGAUAUACGGCAAGCGGCCAAGCGAAAGCGCUAAGUAUUCCACCUGGGGAGUACGCCGGCAACGGUGAAACUCAAAGGAAUUGACGGGGGCCCGCACAAGCGGAGGAACAUGUGGUUUAAUUCGAUGAUACGCGAGGAACCUUACCCGGGCUUAAAUUGCAGAUGAAUUACGGUGAAAGCCGUAAGCCGCAAGGCAUCUGUGAAGGUGCUGCAUGGUUGUCGUCAGCUCGUGCCGUGAGGUGUCGGCUUAAGUGCCAUAACGAGCGCAACCCUUGUUGUCAGUUACUAACAGGUUCCGCUGAGGACUCUGACAAGACUGCCAUCGUAAGAUGUGAGGAAGGUGGGGAUGGCGUCAAAUCAGCACGGCCCUUACGUCCGGGGCUACACACGUGUUACAAUGGGGGGUACAGAGGGCCGCUACCACGCGAGUGGAUGCCAAUCCCAAAAACCUCUCUCAGUUCGGACUGGAGUCUGCAACCCGACUCCACGAAGCUGGAUUCGCUAGUAAUCGCGCAUCAGCCACGGCGCGGUGAAUACGUUCCCGGGCCUUGUACACACCGCCCGUCAAGCCAUGGGAGCCGGGGGUACCUGAAGUGCGUAACCGCGAGGAGCGCCCUAGGGUAAAACUGG